AAUAAGUGAAUGAAUCGGAAUAUUAGCAAACCUAAAGACAUAUAAUUUUAAACUUUAUGCAAUGGUUUGAUUUCAAAUAUUUAUGUCAAACUUCUUUGUUACUACAAGCACAAUGGAGAUAGCAUUAGGGUCUUACACUUGAGUGAUUUGCCGACUUUCAUGAUUUCCUCGAAGAAUAGUGAUUCUAUCUCUAUAACGAACUUUCAGAGCCACCAAAAGUGUGACUGUCUCCACUGAGUAGUACCCACGGUCUGCAUUUUAAUGUCAUUUUAUUAGUUGAACGUUAUAGUAGUAGUACCAUCUAUAGCAAGAUAAGAAAUUUACAUGCAUAACGAUCAGUCUAAAUUCCACAAAGUUUACUAUCAUGGGAAAGCAUGACUCAAACUAGAGAGGUAUUAAUUAAAACACAAAGGAAACCAAAAUAUAGCAAACCAUAAGUUCUGGGACACACUUUGUUGGAUAAUUACGAUUUCCAAACAGGCAAAAGCAAAAAUACUUCGUGACAAUAAUCAACAGCAUUUCUGUCAAGAACAUCAAACUAAUUGGUCAAUCUCAAAAAAAAUAAAAAAUAAAAAAUAAAAUAAUAAUAAUAAUAAUAAAUAAAUAAAUAAAUAAAAAGACAAAAAGGUAAAAGGGGAGAAAAUAGUAUCUUCUGACAUAGGGAAAAGAACAUUUUCUCCUAGGGAGAAGGUAAUAGAAAAAUGCAUUUAUCGCAGCGUAUUUCCUUAAAUCUCUAAGGGUGUGUUUGAUUACAUUUAUUUUCCAUGAAAAAUAUCAAUUUUCCACCCAAAUUCCUACUUGGAGUGUUUGAUUGCUAUUUUUUUCCAUGGAAAACAUUUUCCAACUUUUAAAAAUAUGCCUAAUUUUCCUUGUUUUUAAGAAAAAUAUUUUUUUUGGGUAGAGGUGGUUUUUAUUUUCCACAAAAGAUGAAAAAUAUUUUCUUUUCCAAGGUAAUAUUUUCCAUACCAAUCAAACACGCUCUAACUGUUUACAGAAAAAAGAGAAUCAAAAGCAGCAGCAAAUCUUGUUUCUAAGCACGUGCAGAAAAAAUACAUGUAACUCCACUGAUAAUAGUUAUGGUUGACAUCUAGACCUUAUAUUAGAUAUUGUAUGGAAAACAAAAUGUCUAAACAAUCAGAAUUUCAUAUUGUAAUGAAGUCAGCUAACAUUCCUUCAAAGUAUUAUCCAAAAUGAACUGCGCGCCGCAUUCACAGGAAUACAUGUCUUCACCCAUAAUUUCCUCAAAACACGAAUCAACUUCCCACCUUAUCAUUUGCUUUGGAACAACGUGUCAGCCACAUCAUAAAUAGACAAUUACGCAGCAGCCAAGUCACAAAUCGACAAUUAUAAGUCAGUCGUCGUUCCAAAAGAAGGGAAUGCCAAUCAACAUAAACCAAACCUUCCCUCCAUAAACGGAACAUUAUGCUCUGCUGUACCCAAAAUUCCCAAAUACUUGGUCAAUAGACAAAGUACAUAAACAUACAACCAUAAAUCGCUAAAGCCUAUUUUCAGGCCACAUGCAGAUAGCCGAUAACAGGAAAAAAUGCAGUGCCACAGAACCUGAAUAACAA
rnacentral:lncRNA from 1 species